rnacentral:rRNA from 1 species
AUUGAACGCUGGCGGCAUGCCUUACACAUGCAAGUCGAACGGCAGCACGGGAGCAAUCCUGGUGGCGAGUGGCGAACGGGUGAGUAAUACAUCGGAACGUGCCCAGUAGUGGGGGAUAACCCGGCGAAAGCCGGACUAAUACCGCAUACGACCUACGGGUGAAAGCAGGGGAUCGCAAGACCUUGCGCUAUCGGAGCGGCCGAUGUCAGAUUAGCUUGUUGGCGGGGUAAAAGCCCACCAAGGCGACGAUCUGUAGCUGGUCUGAGAGGACGACCAGCCACACUGGGACUGAGACACGGCCCAGACUCCUACGGGAGGCAGCAGUGGGGAAUUUUGGACAAUGGGCGCAAGCCUGAUCCAGCCAUGCCGCGUGC